UUCUUCAAGGUUUUCAUGGUCUGAUUGAUAACAAUUAGGUUGUUUGGUUUUAUAACUCUCCGAAAUCUUUUUUUUUUUAUAUAUUUUUUAGGUUUGGUGUCCAAUUACUCCAAAAUGAUGCAGUAAUAUUACUUGAUAUGCAUGACAAUAAUAGUAUGGAAUUUCUUCUUCAAGAAUUACAUUGUCUGAUUUGAUAACAAUUAUAUUUUUUGGUUUUAUAGCACUCCAAAAUUCCACAUUUUUGGUAUCCAAUUGCUCCAAAAUCAUACAGUAGUAUCAUCACUUCAAACACAUAUCUGGCAUACAUGAGAAUGAGAUCUUUAAGAAUUAAGUGCAGUAAUAUAAUAAUCAUUUGAUUUGCUUUGUUAAUAGCACUCCAAACAUUUCCAAAGCGUUACACUGUUGUACAGACAGGCAGCAGUCUUUCUGGUGUAUAUUUGUUGAUUAGACCUGGUUAAACUAUGUUUAUUUAGAUUCCAUUUUCAGUCUCUGCACGAGAUGCGCGAGCCUCCGCUCUUUAGAGUGCGCUGUGCACGCGGCUACUGUAAAACACGCAUUAGACGCGCAUACCAUUUAUCGAUGUAGAUAGCACGACCGAGCUUUUUUUAAGUGCAGAUUACGUGACCGUGGUCAGAUAGUAAAGUGGUUUAAAGUACUAUAAUAUUUACUGAUAUGAUGCGUAUCGCUGUGGCCUCUACUGAAAGGCAGGUGCCUAUAGAUCUAAUGGCAUGUGCCACGGGAGCUCGCUAUAGCCUCUACUGAAAGGCAGGUGCCAAAUGAUCUAAUGGCAUGUGCCACGGGAGCUUGCUAUUGCCUCUACUGAAAGGCAGGUGCCUAUGGAUCUAAUGGCAUGUGUCACGGGAGCUCGCUAUAGCCUCUACUGAAAGGCAGGUGCCUAAGAAUCUAAUGGCAUGUGUCACGGGAGCUCGCUAUAGCCUCUACUGAAAGGCAGGUGCCUAUGGAUCUAAUGGCAUGUGCCACGGGAGCUCGCUGUGGCCUCUACUGAAAGGCAGGUGCCUAUGGAUCUAAUGGCAUGUGCCACGGGAGCUCGCUGUGGCCUCUACUGAAAGGCAGGUGCCUAUGGAUCUAAUGGCAUGUGCCACGGGAGCUCGCUGUGGCCUCUACUGAAAGGCAGGUGCCUAUGGAUCUAAUGGCAUGUGUCACGGGAGCUCGCUAUAGCCUCUACUGAAAGGCAGGUGCCUAAGAAUCUAAUGGCAUGUGUCACGGGAGCUCGCUAUAGCCUCUACUGAAAGGCAGGUGCCUAUGGAUCUAAUGGCAUGUGCCACGGGAGCUCGCUGUGGCCUCUACUGAAAGGCAGGUGCCUAUGGAUCUAAUGGCAUGUGCCACGGGAGCUCGCUGUGGCCUCUACUGAAAGGCAGGUGCCUAUGGAUCUAAUGGCAUGUGCCACGGGAGCUCGCUGUGGCCUCUACUGAAAGGCAGGUGCCUAUGGAUCUAAUGGCAUGUGCCACGGGAGCUCGCUGUGGCCUCUACUGAAAGGCAGGUGCCUAUGGAUCUAAUGGCAUGUGCCACAGGAGCUCGCUGUGGCCUCUACUGAAAGGCAGGUGCCUAUG